GAUGAACGCUGGCGGCGUGCCUAAUACAUGCAAGUCGAGCGAACGGACGAGAAGCUUGCUUCUCUGAUGUUAGCGGCGGACGGGUGAGUAACACGUGGAUAACCUACCUAUAAGACUGGGAUAACUUCGGGAAACCGGAGCUAAUACCGGAUAAUCUUUUGAACCGCAUGGUUCAAAAGUGAAAGACAGUCUGGCUGUCACUUAUAGAUGUAUCCGCGCUGCAUUAGCUAGUUGGUAAGGUAACGGCUUACCAAGGCAACGAUGCAUAGCCGACCUGAGAGGGUGAACGGCCACACUGGGACUGAGACACGGUCCAGACUCCUACGGGAGGCAGCAGUAGGGAAUCUUCCGCAAUGGGCGAAAGCCUGACGGAGCAACGCCGCGUGAGUGAUGAAGGUCUUCGGAUCGUAAAACUCUGUUAUUAGGGAAGAACAUAUGUGUAAGUAACUGUGCACAUCUUGACGGUACCUAAUCAGAAAGCCACGGCUAACUACGUG
rnacentral:rRNA from 1 species